rnacentral:antisense_RNA from 1 species
CUUGACGGCGCCGAGCCACAGCGGGCGAUCCGGCGCCCGGUCCUGGCCGUAGGCGGCCAGCAGGGCGCCCGCCUC